AUUGAACGCUGGCGGCAGGCCUAACACAUGCAAGUCGAGCGGAGCGGCGGACGGGUGAGGAAGGCCUAGGAAUCUGCCUGGGCGUGGGGGAUAACGUCCGGAAACGGGAGCUAAUACCGCUACCUAUCAGCUGAGCCUAGGUCGGAUUAGCUAGUGGGUGGGGUAAGGGCCUACAAAGGCGACGAUCCGUAACUGGUCUGAGAGGAUGAUCAGUCACACUGGAACUGAGACACGGUCCAGACUCCUACGGGAGGCAGCAGUGGGGAAUAUUGGACAAUGGGCGAAAGCCUGAUCCAGCCAUGCCGCGUGUGUGAAGAAGGUCUUCGGAUUGUAAAGCACUUUAAGUUGGGAGGCGUUACCCACAGAAUAAGCACCGGCUAACUUCGUGCCAGCAGCCGCGGUAAUUC
rnacentral:rRNA from 1 species